AUGAACAACCACAUGACCCGCAGCCAUGUGGUUGCGCUCCUUCUCACCGUCUGCCUCCUCCUUGCCACCAAUGCACGAUGCCGGAUCAUCGACGGCGGGGGCGACAACAGGAUUCAUUUGCCCAAUGGGCUGUGCGCCUACAAGAAAAACUGGUCAUUCUGCAAACUCGACAUACCGCAGUGCUACUGCUGCUUGGCAGUAUCGUCGUCGUCGAUCCAGUGGACCAUGGGUGAUGAGGCGUCGCUCCUUCCCGACCUUGCGCUGGAGGCAAUCUUCGUGCGGCUGCCGCCAAGGGACUUCCACCGGUGCCGCUGCCUCUCCCGCGCAUGGGCCGCCAAGCUCUCCUCCGACGACGUCAUCGAUCUGCACCUCCGUGUGCGCGGCAAGAUCCGGCUGGACUAUGACGACGUCAUGCAGACCCUGCUCCUAAAGUGCAGAGGGAAGGAAGAGUCUUGUGUAGAAGAUGUUGAUGAUGAUGAUGAAGGUGAAGAGGAGGACUGGAGGGAGGAGUAUCGGACCAGGGGCUACGUGGAGGUGGAUGAGGACUACUAUAUCAGAAGGGCGGAGUCCCAGGCGCGGGCCAAGGAAUUGUGGGCAGAGGCAAGGAAGGAUUCUAGCGGGACCACAGUCACCGACUCUAAUGACCCCAACAGCUUUGGCGCCAAGCUCCUCAAAGCCUGCACCGUUCCAUACGGUGCUCUCCCUUCCCGGAUCCGUCAGCCGUUCUUGGAAGGCUAUCCCUCUUUGGAUUCUUUGGAAGGCCAGGAUGAGACGGAAGGGCACACCAACAUUAGGAGGAUUCGUGGUCGCGAGAAGACAGAAGAGGAGGUCGACCAAGAAAUCAUCGCUUUUCUAAGGAGAUUGCGCGAUAUGGAUCCACAACCAACGUUCUUGCGGGAGUUUGAUACCUAUCGGUGGCCACCAGUAUUUGAGCAAGGGCAAGAGGAGAUAGCUGCUUUCUUGGAGGAGGCUGGGCAGGAAGCCGACUCAGACUGCUCAGAGUACCACUCGGACGAUGGGGAGUUUUAA
rnacentral:rRNA from 1 species